CCAGUCAGAUUUGAAAUAUCUGACAUGCUAAGAUGGCAGUAAUUCUCUGAUGACUGAGACUGUUGGCAGGGGAAGGGGGAAAGGUGGUGCUCAGAAGGGGACAGAGUCUUCCAGAUGGGUCUGACCAGUACUGCCAGGACAAUUCAACCUCUUCCUUCUCCUUAACACCCUCCACAAAGGCAGAUUGGCUGGGAAAUGCUCUGAAAAUCCUUCCAGCUGUGACAGCCCUUUGAAAUAUAGCGCACUCACCACGCCUCCCCCACUGCUGGCUGGUUGGAGACAUUAAAGAUUUAAAAAAGAGAGAGAGAAAGAAAGAAAGGGAGGAAAAAGGAGGAGGCUUCCUUCGCCUUCUGUGGCCCUACGGCAAUUUGUGUUUAUAUAUUAAACCCACUCAUCACCUAAUCAAACUGACUCUCCCCACGUCCCCCACCUGCCCUCAAG
rnacentral:lncRNA from 1 species